AGCGGGUUAGCUCAGUCGGUAGAGCGUCAGUCUGAUAAGCUGAAGGUCGGGGGUUUUCGAGCCCCCCCCGCCACCA
rnacentral:tRNA from 1 species